UACGGGGGGGGGUAAGCGUUGUUCGGAAUUACUGGGCGUAAAGGGCUCGUAGGCGGCCAACUAAGUCGGACGUGAAAUCCCUCAGCUUAACUGGGGAACUGCGUCCGAUACUGGAUGGCUUGGAUUUGGGAGAGGGAUGCGGAAUUCCAGGUGUAGCGGUGAAAUGCGUAGAUAUCUGGAGGAACACCGGUGGCGAAGGCGGCAUCCUGGACCAAUAUUGACGCUGAGGAGCGAAAAGCUAGGGGAGCAAACGGGG
rnacentral:rRNA from 1 species